CCAACCCCAAAUAAUAAAAAUAAAUCCCUAACCCACUAAUCACAUACAGCUGGCCAACUGUGCAUGAGGGAGAGGAUAUCCUUUGUAUCCCUCCUUGCUGAGGAUGAAUGAAACCACUUCUUUUAGGAAGGUGUUCAGUAUCACCUCAAAACCUCCAGCCAAUAGUGAGACCCCCACUUUCACUGAUAAUCUUUUAUUGUUUAAUUACCCUGUCUGCCAGAAAAUUACAUCUUGUUUCAAGGUUGAAUUUGUCUAACUUCAACUUCCAGCCAUUCAAUCUUGCUCAAGUUUUUGUCAACAAGAUUGAAAGCCCAUUAUUAGGUAUCUUUUCCACAAGUAAACACUUAUAUAAAUUGAUAGAGUCAUUCUAUAACUUACCCGAGGUUUUGCUUCUGGAAAACCACUUCCGAACCCUUGCUCACCCCUUAAUAGAGCUUCCUUUCUUCUAUAUGCUGCAUAGUUGGAAACUAGCACUGUCUUGUAGCAAAUGAUGAGGAAAAAGAAAGGAGUUAUCUAGGAAAGAAAGAGGAGAGGUUCAAAAGGAAUGAUGAAAUGAUUGAUCACUGCUCAAGUAUUUGGAAGAGGCAUUUUCUCUUGAAAAGCAAAUCUCUGCUAGAUGCACCUCCCCACCUCCAAGCAGCCUGCCAGCUCAUUUCUACAUUACUGAUAGGUAAUGUUUGCAAAGCAGUGCCCCCUCCUAGACCAUACUUGACAUAAAUCAGCCAAACUCCAAUGAGGUUGUUUCCUGCCAGUGGAGCUCUCACACUUUAUAUCAUUUGUAGAUGUAGAAGGUGCUUUAUAAAGAGGCUUGUGGCUGUUCAUGAACACUGGCUGAAGCAGUGAUAACCUGCAGCAUUCUCUAUGACAUUAUGCAUCCUUAAUUCUCCUACCUUCUGAAAAAAUGAAUGGUCCCCAAAUGUUCAUGAAUGUGUUUGCAGCAAAAUCACAGAAGACUCCAACCACUUAACUUAGCAAGUCCAUAUUAAACGUAAAGGAAUAAUAAACAUUUCACUGUCAGUCUUCUAUUCACAAGCUGUUUCUCACCCCACCCCUGCAUUUAUUCAUAUAUUUUGUUAGCACUUAACUUUUUCAUCAUGAAAAUAUUAAAAUAGAGCUAAGAUAAAACUGUAAUGCCAUCUCUAUUCCAGCAAGCUUGUGGGACUGUAAUAUAAACUAUUUAUAGCUGACUGACCAAAGCAUUUAGUGUAGAAGGAAUGAGGGAGCCAAAAUAAGAAGGUGAGUAUGGCUCUUCCCCAAGAAGGAGCCACGAUCAGAAUUCAACAUUUGCCAUUGUUGUAGUUUCUGCGUGUACCCUACAGGAUAAGUUCUGCAGGAGUGAUUUAUUUCAAGCUUUUUUUUUUUUUUCUUUCUCCCAGGAUGAAGCAAAUGUUUCAAAUUACAGCUAUGGAGAGAGAAUUUAACUAAAGCAGAAAUAUGAGUCACAAAAACAUUCGUGCCUUAUUUUCAGGCUCCACUUGGAUCGGCAUAGGAAGAUUGUCUCAUCCAUGCAGAGCUCCCAAACCUUGAAGAGCUCUGCCUCUACCACUGCUCUGCCCAGGUUCAGGCUGGUUUUGCGCUCAGCUCAGGAUGUGGGUCUGCCAGGCUCCACCAACUGCAGGCAGCCAGACCCCAGCAGUGCCAGGACUAACUGUGGAACCCAGCUGGUGUCAUGGGUCUGCUCAGUAAAGGUGGGAGGAAAAGUGGUAGAUGUGGUAGGGAGAGCUGGGCCAUGUCUUGGUGUCUCUCUCCAAGUAGAGCGCAGUUGCAGAGCCAGGGCAAUGUUUAGUAGUCUUCAGGGCAAAGGCAAAGCUGGAUGGAGAAAUAUGCAAGGACUUGUUGGCCAAGAAUGUUAUGUUGAAAAUAUGUUGAAAAAUGUUUUUAGGUGGUAGAUGCUGGUUAUAUAUAUAUAAUAUGUAUGUACAUAUGUUUGCAGUUAUAUAUAUAUGUAUAUGAAUGUGUGAGUGUACAUCUUCUACAAAGAAUAGAUUAUGCCACAGCAGUUUUGUCCACAAAUAUAGUAGCUCAGUAUAGCUAAUGGAGGGGUAUGUAGUGUACAUUGUUAAGGAUAUUAUUUCUCUACAGCUUUGGAAUCAGUCCAAGUUUUAAGCAUGUAUUUAUGUCUGAGUGUAUCAGUAAUCUCACUGAGCUUUGCUUGGAAGUUUUCCUUAAUUCCUUCCUCAAAGUUUUCCAUGAAUACAGAAAGUGAGAUUUUGUUACAAACCCUCUUAAUAGUCCUCAGUAUCCCUUGUUUCCUUCUGUUGGAAACCAUCCCAAUCUUGCCAGUGCCAUGUGUGUGCAUUUUAGAGCUCUGUGCUGUAUGUGCUAAGUGUUUGCAUUCCAGCCUUUCCCUGCAGUUCCCUCAUGCGGGGCCACAUGCUCACUCCCAUCCGUGGCAAUACUAGGAUCAGUAGUAAUCUCAGCCUCAAGCCUCCCCAGGUGUGCAUGGAUCCGUCCUCAUCUAUCCUUCAUCCUCAAGGCAAAAAUCUCAGUUUUGCCAAGCCCCUCUGAGCCAGACUGAGCAGCUUUUGCUUCAAUAUGGACAAAGCCCACACUGGGCAGGAGACGCAGCCAUACCAACACUCUGUAGAUGACUUGAAGGCAAGUGGAAGCAAGCAGCCUUAGCUCAGGCAGCAGAGAGCUGCAGAUCAGCUCCCACUGAUGGACAGAAGCGUGGUGUGGAGGCAGUGUAGCAUAGCUUGUUUAAUGCUGCAUUAUGGUAAUGCAUACCAGCAAGCCAUUAACAUGGGAAUCUUAGAUUUAGAAUAUAAUGAAGCACACCGUUCGAUGUUUUGUAGCAGUGUGUACUCUGGAGUCAUAAGCACACAAUUUUUUUUAUCAAGUUUCAGCCCAAAGCAAAUUUCCACAGCUAAGUAGCCCUCCAAUCUAUCUAUUCACAGUUAUACAUAUUUGUUUUUAAUAAAAUUUGUUAAUAUUUACCAGACGCAUAAUGGGACAGUUAUUUUUACCCAGAGUGCAUAGUUUACCUAUUAAAUGUUAUAAAAUCUUUUUGAAAUCAAGUUAAGUGAAAAGAUUAGCAUCAAUCCUCUGAGAAUAAGCAUUGUUUUAAAGAUGUAGAUGUUUUCAAACACCAGAGUGAAUAGAAAAAAUAUUGCUGCGUUGACUGUCGGAUUACAUUUCUUUCUUACUGAAGCUAAGUGGGUUAAAUUAAGUGAUUAAUUAACUAUGCAUCUGCACAAUUAGGAGGGCAUUUAUAUUCCAUUUAACUUAUAUAUUUAUUUCUAGUUUGGGAAGAAAGGAACCAUAAGAUGAUGAAGGGAUGAAUACCUACAAGUAUUAGAGAUUUCCAGUAGCUUUAUUAUAUCUGUUAUUAUAAUUUCCAUUGCAGCACUGUGAAUUCAUUGGGUUUCUAACUUGGUCAUGAAGAUUUGUUCUACAAUGAAAUUUCUCAGAGAAAUUUUUUGCUAGAUUUUAUUUGCUGUUGUUUGUAGAUUUAGGAAUGCUGUACCAACGGCUAACAAAAGUAACCAACUUUAUUGGUUUUCUGAGUUUCUUCUUGCCAUUAGCUGACUGGGCCCAGUCUAUCUCUGAGAUGCAGUUUCCAAAGCCAGCUCCUGAGCUGCUACCAAGACUCUGUUGUGUGCAUGGAGGAAAGUCUGAUGCUGCUUCACAGCAGAUCAACGAGCAAGUUUGGGGUGAAAGCAGUAGUCAUAAGUUUUUUUUCUCCAUUCCCACCCUGACUUCAGAAGUGCAGGUGAAUACAGUGGAAGAAGAGCACCUCAGCUCCUUGUGCAACUGCCUGGUGUGGGACGCAGCAAGGAGCUGCUCCCUACUCACUGCAGCUGUGUUCUGCCUUGUGCUGGAUUUCUCAGCAAAUUCCUCUCCAAACAGCAAAACCAGAAGAGUUUUUUUUCGCACUGCCAUUUGCCCAGCCUUCAUUCAGAGACUGUUUUUGUCUCCAGUCCUGCCAGAAGCCUGGUAACAGGCUAGGACAAAUGCUGUAAAUGGACUAAUGUGGGCCCAGCAAGCGCUGGACCUACUGCUUUGAGCUGUGCCUUUGAAAAUAAUGAGCUGGAUUGUCCCAGCCCUCGGUCAGCAAGGCGAGAGAAUGAGAAUCCUGCUGCUCCCCUGUGCAGGCUGCAGCUCCAGUUGCAGGCAGUGGUGGCCAUUCAACUGAGAUUCCCUCCAGUCAGAAAGGGCUUUGGCAACAUAGAAGUGUUUUUCCCUUCCCUAU